CGAGGGGAUAUAAACAGCACAGGAGCAGCUUCAAGUAGUCUGAAAGCCAGCCUGAGCUGUCCUCAAAUAAACCACUGCUGGGCCCAGAAGAAAGCAAUUACACAGGGGCUUAGCUGAGCUGAUUUAACAAAGCUGCAGUAAUUAAACCUCAUACACUUCAGGCAGGGGAUUCAGCUCCAAGUGCUAUCAGGAUCUGGUCUCGGAAGGUAAAUCUUUUUGGUGUGAGCAGCUGAGAGGAUUUAAAGAAAGGAGCCCUGCCCUGUGGCUCCGUGACAGGAGCAGAGACACCUGAGCAUCACCUCACCUGAACCACUUUGCCACCGCAGUUUGGUUCCUUGCCACCUAACCAGCAGCG
rnacentral:lncRNA from 12 species